rnacentral:lncRNA from 1 species
CUUUCCUUUCCUUUCUCCAUCUUUUCAUCUCUCCCUUCCUUUCUUCCUCCCUCCAUUCCUCCCUUCCCUUUUUUCCAUUCAUCCUUCCUCCUCUCUCUGUCUCUAUUUAUUUAUUUAUUUGGUUUGAACCCAGGGGUGCUGAACCACUGAGCCAUAUUCCCAGCCCUUUUUAUAUAUUUUAUUAGAGACAGGGUCUCUCUGAGUUGCUAAGUGCCUUGCUAAGUUGCUGAGAUUGGCUUUGAACUUGCGAUCCUCCUGUCUCAGCCUCCCAAGCUACUGGGAUUACAGGUGUGCACCACCAUGCCGGGCCAUCCAUCCUUCUCUAGGUUAUAUCAUAUCUCAUUCUCUCCCUAGGCUUGUUGUGGCUAUUUCAAGGAGAGCACAUCUUCUGUCAUUCUAUUGAAUCUACCAUUUAGAGCUGUGAUAAUUCCCAGAAACUUUAAGAUGAUGUCCAUUUCUUUUAUUCUCUAACUUUUUUUCAGAAGAUUCAUGACUUAACUAAACAAAUGAUGGCCAAUAUAUACAGUGUGUGGAUUGCCUGUGCCUAUUCUCCGCACUCUUGGGCAUGGGUUGAAUCCCCUUUCUAUUUCAUCAGGUAUAUAUCAGGUUCAUUUACAUUAGGGGCUGAACUAUAUUCCAGGGUCUAGCAAUUCUUCAUCUAGUUUGGUCUGCUGGCAUGAGAGUACAUCUUUAUGCUUGUCUUUGGUGUUUAUGACUCCUGGGAGGCAGUGUGCCCUUCUCUCCAGCUUUAUUCUUGGAUUUUUCAAGUGGCACACCUGGGGAUGAAACUGCCUAAGCUACAGAGGGAUAGCUGAGUGGAACCAGCCUUGCAUCCCUGAAGCAGGGCAGAGGGGGAGCUGAGAGCAAGCUUGCUCAGUUCUCUAUACCGUGGACUAUUUCUGUCAUUCAAAUUCUACCAGAUUAAUCAGUGGGAAGUCUUUUCACAUUCUGCCAGUACUCCUACAUUGUUGGCCUUGUGAAUUUUUAUCUUGAAUGCUAAUAAAAUGGCAGUCAGAGUCUGAAGAGCUAAAAUUGAAGCCAGUUACCAUUUCUUGCUUUUAUUUAAAAAAUUUGGGUGG